UACAGAGGGUGCAAGCGUUGUUCGGAAUCACUGGGCUUAAAGGGCGCGUAGGCGGGUGCUCAAGUCCGGGGUGAAAUCCCACAGCUCAACUGUGGAAUUGCCUCGGAUACUGGGUGUCUCGAGGGUGGUAGGGGUAUGCGGAACUAUCGGUGGAGCGGUGAAAUGCGUUGAUAUCGAUAGGAACUCCGGUGGCGAAGGCGGCAUACUGGACCACUUCUGACGCUGAGGCGCGAAAGCCAGGGGAGCAAACGGG
rnacentral:rRNA from 1 species